ACAUCAGUGGCACGUACACUAAAAAAUUGGAACCAUACAGGGCAGACUAGCAUGUCCCCUGGGCAAAGAUAACAUGCAAGUUCAUGAAGCAUUCCCUAAUUUU
rnacentral:snRNA from 1 species